AUCGAACGCUGGCGGCAGGCCUAACACAUGCAAGUCGAGCGGAGCGGCGGACGGGUGAGUAAUGCCUAGGAAUCUGCCUGGUAGUGGGGGAUAACGUCCGGAAACGGGUGCUAAUACCGAAUACUAUCAGAUGAGCCUAGGUCGGAUUAGCUAGUUGGUGGUGUAAAGGCCUCCCAAGGCGACGAUCCGUAACUGGUCUGAGAGGAUGAUCAGUCAAACGGGAACUGAGAAACGGUCCCGAAUCCUACGGUGGGAAGGAUUGGGAAAUAUUGGACAAGUGGCGAAAGCAUGAUCCGGACAGGCCGGGUGUUGGAAGAAGGUCUUGGGAUUGUAAAGCCCUUUAAGUUGGGAGGCGGUACCAACAGAAUAAGCGACGGCUAACUUCGUGCCAGCAGCCGCGGUAAUAC
rnacentral:rRNA from 1 species